rnacentral:tRNA from 1 species
GGAGCUGUGGCUUAGCAGGUAAAGCCACUGCCUACAGCACCAGCAUUUGAGACGGGUUUUGGUUCAGGUCCUGUCUGCUCCA